rnacentral:rRNA from 1 species
GGGUGCGAUCAUACCAGACUAAGCACCGGAUCCCAUCAGAACUCUGCUGUUAAGCGUGCUUGGGCGAGAGUAGUACUAGGAUGGGUGGCCUCCUGGGAAGUCCUAGUGUUGCACUCCC